rnacentral:rRNA from 1 species
AACGAACGCUGGCGGCAUGCCUAACACAUGCAAGUCGAACGAGACCUUCGGGUCUAGUGGCGCACGGGUGCGUAACGCGUGGGAACCUGCCCUUAGGUUCGGAAUAACUCCCCGAAAGGGGUGCUAAUACCGGAUAAUGUCUUCGGACCAAAGAUUUAUGGCCUUUGGAUGGGCCCGCGUUGGAUUAGCUAGUUGGUAGGGUAAAAGCCUACCAAGGCGACGAUCCAUAGCUGGUCUGAGAGGAUGAUCAGCCACACUGGGACUGAGACACGGCCCAGACUCCUACGGGAGGCAGCAGUGGGGAAUAUUGGACAAUGGGCGAAAGCCUGAUCCAGCAAUGCCGCGUGAGUGAUGAAGGCCUUAGGGUUGUAAAGCUCUUUUACCCGGGAUGAUAAUGACAGUACCGGGAGAAUAAGCUCCGGCUAACUCCGUG